rnacentral:rRNA from 1 species
GACGAACGCUGGCGACGUGCUUAACACAUGCAAGUCGAACGGAAAGGCCCUGCUUUCUUGGGGUGACGGGUUGCCGAACGGGUGAGUAACAGGUAAGUAACCUGCCCUUGUUUUUGGUAUAACUUCAGGAAACUGGGGUUACUCCCGGAUCGCAUCCCCCCUUCCAUGGUGGGGAUUGGAACGUUUGGGCGGUUGGGGUUGGAUGGGCGGCUGACCGGUUUGUUGGUUGGGUAGUGGCUGACCAAGGCUUGGAAGGGUAGCCGGCCUGAGAGGGUGACCGGGCACAAUGGGACUGAGAGACGGACCAGAGUCCUACGGGAGGCAGCAGUGGGGAAUAUUGCACAAUGGGAGGAAGCCUGAGGAAGAAACGCCGCGGGCGGGAUGACGGCCUUCGGGUUGUAAACCGCUUUCGGCUGUGACGAAGCGGGAGUGACGGUAAUGGGUAAAGAAGCACCGGCUAACUACGUG